AUAAGGGGUGGGCAAGUCUGGUGUCAGCCGCCGCGGUAAUACCAGCACCCCGAGUGGUCGGGACGAUUAUUGGGCCUAAAGCAUCCGUAGCCGGUUUUACAAGUCUUCCGUUAAAUCCAGCCGCUCAACGGAUGGGCCGCGGAGGAUACUGUAGAACUAGGAGGCGGGAGAGGCAAGCGGUACUUAGUGGGUAGGGGUAAAAUCCACUGAUCCAUUGAAGACCACCAGUGGCGAAGGCGGCUUGCCAGAACGCGCUCGACGGUGAGGGAUGAAAGCUGGGGGAGCAAACCGGAUUAGAUACCCGGGUAGUCCCAGCUGUAAACGAUGCAGACUCGGUGAUGGGCUAGCCUUGUGCCAGCCCAGUGCCGCAGGGAAGCCGUUAAGUCUGCCGCCUGGGGAGUACGGUCGCAAGACUGAAACUUAAAGGAAU
rnacentral:rRNA from 1 species